CAGCCGCCGCGGUAAUACGGAGGGUGCAAGCGUUAAUCGGAACUACUGGGCGUAAAGCGCACGCAGGCGGUUUGUUAAGUCAGAUGUGAAAUCCCCGGGCUCAACCUGGGAAUGGCAAUGGAAACUGGACGGCUAGAGUGUGUCAGAGGAUGGUGGAAUUCCCGGUGUAGCGGGGAAAUGCGUAGAGAUCGGGAGGAACAUCAGUGGCGAAGGCGGCCAUCUGGGACAACACUGACACUGAGGCACGAAAGCGUGGGGAGCAAACAGGAUUAGAUACCCCUGUAGUCCCUGUCUCUUAUAC
rnacentral:rRNA from 1 species